UUGUCUGCUUGAAUAACUACUUUAUGCUUUUUUACAUCUGCAGUCUCUUCUUCGAGCAAGAGAUGGAGCUUUCUUUGGUCGGGCUCCAAAAUGCUAGGAAAACAUCACUUGCAGCAGCUCGCAGCGACACCCCCGCCUCCUCAUCAUGGAAGCUACAAGAACACUUUGAGUAGGUAAAGAGGAUUUGCGACACUACCACAUUGUCUUUGGCCAUGCAUCAUCUCAGUGAUAAGAUAACAAGCCAACUGGAUAUUUCAAAAUUGACUGACAAGCUACGGUAAGGGAAGGUAGACUCAAGUGCAUUGACACCAAAGGAGAAGUAUGAAACUUGGAAGGAGAUUAAAAUUAUGAGUUUCAGAAAAACAGUUUCUCCAAUGUGGGCAAUGGCAUUGCUUAGCUUGUAUGUUAGAGUUCAUGUCACCAU